rnacentral:rRNA from 1 species
UGGGGAAUUUUGGACAAUGGGGGCAACCCUGAUCCAGCCAUUCCGCGUGAGUGAAGAAGGCCUUCGGGUUGUAAAGCUCUUUUGUCCGGGAAGAAACGGUUUCACCUAAUACGUGAGACUACUGACGGUACCGGAAGAAUAAGGACCGGCUAACUACGUGCCAGCAGCCGCGGUAAUACGUAGGGUCCAAGCGUUAAUCGGAAUUACUGGGCGUAAAGCGUGCGCAGGCGGUUGUGUAAGCCAGAUGUGAAAUCCCCGGGCUUAACCUGGGAAUGGCAUUUGGGACUGCACGGCUAGAGUACGGCAGAGGGGACUAGAAUUCCUGGUGUAGCAGUGAAAUGCGUAGAUAUCAGGAGGAAUACCGAUGGCGAAGGCAGGUCCCUGGGCUGAUACUGACGCUCAUGCACGAAAGCGUGGGGAGCAAACA